rnacentral:misc_RNA from 1 species
AGAGAACCCAUUUUGAGGAAUUCGGGGGCAAUUUCAGUUUCUCGGUGGCGGAAGACGCGCAGAGACUUCACCCUUUCAAUUCCGUUGACACAUAUACAGAGGUGUCGUUUCUGAUAAUCAAUUUCACUUUCUCUUUGCUACGAUCGCUACAUUCUCUCUCUCUCUUUUGUGUAGACUGAACCCGCGCUGAACUGCAUUUCGCCUAUAAAUUAAUAUAUUUCUUAGGAAGAUGCAGCAACCCGUGCAGCCAAGGUCUUCUGCCAAUGGAUAUGGCCGUCGUAAAGUUGAUAGAGAAAUGGGUACUAAGUUGGAGAAUAAAGCGCAAUCUGGAAAAACUACUUCUCGUCAAUUUACAGGUAAAGGGGGAGCAUAUCAAAGCCUGUCACAUGAUCG